UGCCAGCCGCCGCGGUAAUACGGAGGGUGCAAGCGUUGUUCGGAAUUACUGGGCGUAAAGCGCGCGUAGGCGGCUAUUUAAGUCAGAUGUGAAAGUCCACGGCUCAACCGUGGAAGUGCAUUUGAAACUGGAUGGCUUGAGUACUGGAGGGGGUGGUGGAAUUCCCGGUGUAGAGGUGAAAUUCGUAGAUAUCACGAGGAACACCAGAUGCGUAGGCGGGUGACUGGACGAGUACUGACGCUAAGGCACGAAAGCGUGGGGAGCAAACAGGAUUAGAUA
rnacentral:rRNA from 1 species